ensembl:lncRNA
GAGGUAGAGUCCGAGUAGUAGAGACUGUUAGAGGUAGAGUCCGAGUAGUAGAGACUGUUAGAGGUAGAGUCCGAGUAGUAGAGACUGUUAGAGGUAGAGUCCGAGAAGUAGAGACUGUUAGAGGUAGAGUCCGAGUAGUAGAGAAUGUUAGAGGUAGAGUGUGAGUAGUAGAGACUGUUAGAGGUAGAGUGUGAGUAGUAGAGACUGUUAGAGGUAGAGUGUGAGUAGUAGAGACUGUUAGAGGUAGAGUGUGAGUAGUAGAGACUGUUAGAGGGAGAGUGUGAGUAGUAGAGACUGUUAGAGGUAGAGUCCGUGUAGUAGAGACUGUUAGAGAUAGCGUCUGAGUAGUAGAGACUGUUAGAGGUACAGUCCGAGUAGAGUAGCGACUGUUAAAGCUAUAUGACUAUACAUUUAAUCCAUUUAUAUGCAUAUAUUGGAAAUGUUAACAUGAAAUGAACACUUAGACUGAAAAUACACAACAUUUUAUUUUUUUUGCAUGUUUAAAUAAAAUUGGACUGGGUGUAAAAAGAAAAAGAGUGCAGCCAGCCACUAGAGGGCAUCAUACAUAACCUUUCACUUUACAAACACCCAUGUAAAUAUUUAGCCUUAACCCAAGUAUCAGACAUGAUUUUCACAUUCAACCCACUUGUUGAGUAAGUUUUAUUCAUGACAGUGUUUACAUUUCUGCACUACCUUUUUUUUUUUUUGCUGCAAUUAUAUGUAUAUAUAAAUACGUAAAUAUUUGACCUUGGCCCAUUUGACAUUUGUUGAUAAAUGCAGAGCACCAGCCAAUAAUUAAAUUAUUAUUUAGCAUAGAUAAUAAUACAUUUUAAUAUAAAGCAGCAGUC